rnacentral:rRNA from 1 species
UGCAGUCGAACGAGGUCCAUCUUGUAGCAUACAAGUGAAGACCUAGUGGCGAACGGGUGAGGAACACGUGAGAAAUUUGCCCCGAACUUUGGGAUAACAGUUGGAAACGACUGCUAAUGCCGAAUGCCGUUACGAAGUGGCAUCACUUUGUAACGAAAGAAUUUCGGUUCGGGAGAAUCUCGCGGCCUAUCAGCUUGUUGGUGAGGUAACGGCUCACCAAGGCUACGACGGGUAGCUGGUCUGAGAGGAUGAUCAGCCACACUGGGACUGAGACACGGCCCAGACUCCUACGGGAGGCAGCAGUGGGGAAUCUUGUGCAAUGGACGAAAGUCUGACACAGCCACGCCGCGUGCGGGAAGAAGGCCUUCGGGUUGUAAACCGCUUUCAGCAGGAACGAAAAUGACGGUACCUGCAGAAGAAGGAGCGGCCAACUACGUGCCAGCAGCCGCGGUGACACGUAGGCUCCAAGCGUUGUCCGGAUUUAUUGGGCGUAAAGAGCUCGUAGGCGGUUCAGCAAGUCGGGUGUGAAAACUCUGGGCUCAACCCAGAGCCUGCACCCGAAACUGCUGUGACUAGAGUUCGGUAGGGGAGUGGGGAAUUCCUAGUGUAGCGGUGAAAUGCGCAGAUAUUAGGAGGAACACCGAUGGCGAAGGCACCACUCUGGGCCGAAACUGACGCUGAGGAGCGAAAGCGUGGGUAGCAAACAGGAUUAGAUACCCUGGUAGUCCACGCCGUAAACGAUGGGCACUAGGUGUGGGUCUCUAACCAACGAGAUCCGCGCCGUCGCUAACGCAUUAAGUGCCCCGCCUGGGGAGUACGGUCGCAAGACUAANACUCAAAGGAAUUGACGGGGGCCCGCACAAGCAGCGGAGCGUGUUGCUUAAUUCGAUGCUACGCGAAGAACCUUACCCUAGGUAAAUCAUUGGGAAAAGC